AUUGAACGCUGGCGGCAUGCCUUACACAUGCAAGUCGAACGGUAACAGGUCUUCGGAUGCUGACGAGUGGCGAACGGGUGAGUAAUACAUCGGAACGUGCCUAGUAGUGGGGGAUAACUACUCGAAAGAGUGGCUAAUACCGCAUGAGAUCUACGGAUGAAAGCAGGGGAUCGCACGACCUUGGGCUACUAGACCGGCCGAUGGCAGAUUAGGUAGUUGGUGGGAUAAAGGCUUACCAAGCCGACGAUCUGUAGCUGGUCUGAGAGGACGAUCAGCCACACUGGGACUGAGACACGGCCCAGACUCCUACGGGAGGCAGCAGUGGGGAAUUUUGGACAAUGGGCGCAAGCCUGAUCCAGCAAUGCCGCGUGCAGGAUGAAGGCCUUCGGGUUGUAAACUGCUUUUGUACGGAACGAAAAGCCCUGGGUUAAUACCCUGGGGUCAUGACGGUACCGUAAGAAUAAGCACCGGCUAACUACGUGCCAGCAGCCGCAGUAAGAC
rnacentral:rRNA from 1 species